rnacentral:rRNA from 1 species
AUGUUCUCGGGAUCGGUGGCAUGUGAAAUCGGGUUAGCUUGGGCAGUAAUUAAUAAUAAUAAUAAUGUAAUUGUCGAACUAGGUGUAUACCAUGUUCUCAGGAUCGGUGGUAUGUUCCUUUGGGGAGACAAACAAAAAAAAAUUAAUAAAAUUUGGUUGAGCCAGGUGUAUACCAUGUUCUCGGGAUCGGUGGUAUGUUCCUUUGGUGAGAUCAAUAAAAUAUUAUCAUUACUUCCUUCAAACUCAAUUAGUGGUUCAACCAGGGAUCAUGCUCUCUUUAGGAACCAUUUGGCACAAUCAGCAUUUGAAUUUGUUGAUCCAUUUUUAUCAUUGUAA